rnacentral:tRNA from 1 species
CAAAACGUAGCUUAAUUAAAGCAUCCCGCUUACACCGUGAACAUAUCUGUUAAACCCAGAUCGUUUUGA